ensembl:lncRNA
CCCCUGUAUAUGACUGUAGGUCUAUAUCUAGCUACCCCCCUGUAUAUGACUGUAGGUCUAUAUCUAGCUAUCCCCCUGUAUAUGACUGUAGGUCUAUAUCUAGCUACCCCCCUGUAUAUGACUGUAGGUCUAUAUCUAGUUACUGUUCUGUAUAUGAUUGUAGGUCUACAUCUAGCUACCCCCCUGUAUCUGACUGUAGGUCUAUAUCUAGCUACUGUUCUGUAUCUGACUGUAGGUCUAUAUCUAGCUACCCCCCUGUAUAUGACUGUAGGUCUAUAUCUAGCUACCCCCCUGUAUAUGACUGUAGGUCUAUAUCUAGCUACCCCCCUGUAUAUGACUGUAGGUCUAUAUCUAGCUACUGUUCUGUAUCUGACUGUAGGUCUAUAUCUAGCUACCCCCUGUAUAUGACUGUAGGUCUAUAUCUAGCUACCCCCUGUAUAUGACUGUAGGUCUAUAUCUAGCUACCCCCUGUAUAUGAUUGUAGGUCUAUAUCUAGCUACCCCACUGUAUAUGACUGUAGGUCUAUAUCUAGCUACUCCCCUGUAUAUGACUGUAGGUCUAUAUCUAGCUACUGUUCUGUAUAUGACUGUAGGUCUAUAUCUAGCUACCCCCCUGUAUAUGACUGUAGGUCUAUAUCUAGAUACUGUUCUGUAUCUGACUGUAGGUCUAUAUCUAGCUACCCCCCUGUAUAUGACUUUAGGUCUAUAUCUAGCUACCCCCCUGUAUAUGACUGUAGGUCUAUAUCUAGCUACCCCCCUGUAUAUGACUGUAGGUCUAUAUCUAGCUACUGUUCUGUAUCUGACUGUAGGUCUAUAUCUAACUACCCCCUGUAUAUGACUGUAGGUCUAUAUCUAGCUACUGUUCUGUAUCUGACUGUAGGUCUAUAUCUAGUUACUGUUCUGUAUCUGACUGUAGGUCUAUAUCUAGCUACCCCCCUGUAUAUGACUGUAGGUCUAUAUCUAGCUACCCCCCUGUAUAAGACUGUAGGUCUAUAUCUAGCUACCCCCCUGUAUAUGACUGUAGGUCUACAUCUAACUAUCCCCCUGUAUAUGACUGUAGGUCUAUAUCUAACUACCCCCCUGUAUAUGACUUUAGGUCUAUAUCUAGCUACCCCC